AAGUCGUAACAAGGUCUCCGUAGGUGAACCUGCGGAGGGAUCAUUAAUGAGUGAGGGCCUCCGGCCCGACCUCCCACCCUUUGUUGUACCGACCUCUGUUGCCUCGGGGCGACCCGGCGUUUCGCACGGGGCCCCCGGUGGACUUUGAUCAAACGCUGCAUCUUUGACGUCUGAGUGAAUUGAUAAAUCAAUCAAAACUUUCAACAACGGAUCUCUUGGUUCUGGCAUCGAUGAAGAACGCAGCGAAAUGCGAUAAGUAAUGUGAAUUGCAGAAUUCAGUGAAUCAUCGAAUCUUUGAACGCACAUUGCGCCCCUGGUAUUCCGGGGGCAUGCUGUUCGAGCGUCAUUACACCACUCAAGCCUGGCUUGGUAUUGGGCGACGGGGGAGACCCCCCGCCUGAAUUUCUCCGGCUGCGACCUCGUCGAACCCAGCGUUGUGGACAUCCCGUUCGCUGUGGGACUCGCGGGUAGGCGGCCGACCGAAACCGCGCUCCGGCGCCUUCUCAGGUUGACCUCGGAUCAGGUAGGGAUACCGCUGAACUUAA
rnacentral:rRNA from 1 species